rnacentral:RNase_P_RNA from 1 species
GGAGCCGGCCGGACAGCCGCUUCGCGGGUCGCAAGACCGGCGGGGAGGAAAGUCCGGGCUCCGCAGGGCAGGGUGCCAGGUAACACCUGGGGGGCGCGAGCCUACGGAAAGUGCAACAGAAAGGAUACCGCCCCGCGAUUAAGCGGGGUAAGGGUGAAAUGGUGCGGUAAGAGCGCACCGCGCAGGUGGCAACACGCUGCGGCUAGGUAAACCCCACCCGGAGCAAGACCAAAUAGGAAAGCGAUACCGUGGCCCGCGGUGCUUUCGGGUAGGUCGCUAGAGGCCGGCGGCGACGCCGGUCCCAGAUGAAUGGCUGUCCUCGACAGAACCCGGCUUACAGGCCGGCUCCUUCA